rnacentral:tRNA from 1 species
GCGAUAUUAGCGCAGUUGGCAGCGCGUCAGUCUCAUAAUCUGAAGGUCGUGAGUUCGAGCCUCACAUGUCGCA